UGUCAGUCUUGUUCAACAUAAUUUCCCCGUCAGGCACGUGUGAAAGUGUUUGAGUGUUUGUGUCCGUGUGGAAGCGUGUAUUUUUUUCCCUGGCUGUCAAUUACACGGCCCGUCAGCACAGCACAGGCACGCAUCGGGUACAGGAAUCGGGACCGGAACAACUGCGUUAACAGGCGAGAUUCGGCCGGGGAGCACCGACCGGAUGAUCACAGAGAUCAGAGAGCAGAGACCAGCCGCAUAGCCACAUGUGCGUAAAAUUACGUUCACCAGUUGCGACUGCGACCUCAGCAACCUGCGACAAACACGAACCGGGUGUAACGAAACGGAACGGAUGUGUGGAUUCCCCAAAAAUGAACACGUGAAACGAGCAGUACAACAUAUUACCAAAGGAGAUAUGCGCGCUGACCCAUUUCCAGACCGCGUGAAAGAACUUCCGAACAAGGCAGCCAGUCGGAGCAGGAAGCAAAACAGAGCAGAAGAUACAGAAACACUCCCAGCAGCAGCCGCCGCCGCCGCCGCCCGAAAAUGCCGGUGAUAAUUGCGUUCAAUUAAUCAAAAGAUCACAACCAUGAAAUUAUUAAACAGACAGACAAAACCCCGUGUGCGUGCGUGUGUGUGGGGGGAGAAGAGAAGAGAGCAGAUUACAAAACGAUACACCAACCGGUACCAAACAAAUGAGGAUCAGGAAAGCUUACCGGGGCCGGACGGACGGGCGUGGGAGGAAUUCGGUGAAACAGGAAAACCAGAAAACCAGGAACAACCAGGAAGGAUCGACACUCUUUGACUUUUUUUGGCUUUUGAUGACUUAAUACGGGUGACAGAAUAAUAUCAGAAUAAUCGGGACCAUUUUUAAAGGAAGACAUUUUGGAUCGAACUAUGAAAUGAAGGUAAACAUUAUUGAAGUGCUUGAGUUGUCGCUUGAACUUAGUUGGUUUACCAGCCUUCAAGUCAAAUCUUCAACAACACUCAACCUUUUAUUGCAAUCCAGCAGUCGUCGGGUAGUUAAUACUGGUCCAAA